AGCUCCGUGCCGUGAGGUGUCGGGUUAAGUCCCAUAACGAGCGCAACCCCUACCGCUAGUUGCCAGCGGGUCAUGCCGGGGACUCUAGCGGAACUGCCAGCGUAAGCUGCGAGGAAGGUGGGGAUGACGUCAAAUCAGCACGGCCCUUACGUCCAGGGCUACACACGUGUUACAAUGGCCAGUACAGAGGGCAGCCACCCCGCGAGGGGGCGCUAAUCCUAAAAGCUGGUCCCAGUUCGGAUCGGAGUCUGCAACCCGACUCCGUGAAGCUGGAUUCGCUAGUAAUCGCGCAUCAGCCACGGCGCGGUGAAUACGUUCCCGGGCCUU
rnacentral:rRNA from 1 species